AUUGAACGCUGGCGGCAUGCUUUACACAUGCAAGUCGAACGGCAGCGCGGGCUUCGGCCUGGCGGCGAGUGGCGAACGGGUGAGUAAUGCAUCGGAACGUGCCCAGUAGUGGGGAUAGCCCGGCGAAAGCCGGAUUAAUACCGCAUACGACCUGAGGGUGAAAGCGGGGGACCGAAAGGCCUCGCGCUAUUGGAGCGGCCGAUGUCGGAUUAGCUAGUUGGUGGGGUAAAGGCUUACCAAGGCGACGAUCCGUAGCUGGUCUGAGAGGACGACCAGCCACACUGGGACUGAGACACGGCCCAGACUCCUACGGGAGGCAGCAGUGGGGAAUUUUGGACAACGGGGGCAACCCUGAUCCAGCCAUGCCGCGUGCGGGAAGAAGGCCUUCGGGUUGUAAACCGCUUUUGUUCGGGAAGAAAUCCUCUGGGCUAAUACCCCGGGGGGAUGACGGUACCGGAAGAAUAAGCACCGGCUAACUACGUG
rnacentral:rRNA from 1 species